rnacentral:lncRNA from 1 species
GCAUCAAUAAAUAUAAAACUUUAUUAAUUUAUCUAAUAAAUAAAUAUGCGAGAGAUAUUAAACAAUUAGAAUACAAGUUUAGAGUGUACUUGAUGAAAGCAACAUGACAAGGGUUCAUCCUUCACCCUUUGCCAAAGGAGUUAGCUUCCCAUUACAAGCAUCACCUCUUCCCUUUUUUUUUCUUUUUCUUUUUGGAAAUAGGGCAUACCCUGUUUCCUUCUUCUCUUUUCCUUCAACCACAGCAGCCGGCUCCUCUGUUCUUCCUCUUCCUCUCCCCCAAAUGAGCCCCCCCUAUCUCCCAGCCAAGAGAGCUAUAUAGCCCUUCCUUUGCACGCGAUGGAGAUCAACGGAAAGGCUGCAUCUCGGGCGAUGAUCUCGGACUGCUGGAAGCUCGCGAACGGUUGCUUGAAUCAUGGAAGAGGUGGACUCUGUGGAGGAGGAUCGCCACAGUCGCUGGGUGGUGAACGGACGAAUGGAAUGAAUAGGGUUGGGAGGUAAUCGCGGCUGGAUGCUUAGGAUGCGAACAGCCGGAUCGCAGGAAUGGGUGCGGAAGAUCAAAUCACGGAUCCGGGAGGUGAUUGCGGCCGGCUCCAAUGCUGAGAACGGAUGCUGGGACGACCGGGCUCGGGCGGACGCUGUGGAGGAGUGCGAUCUCUUCCAGACGGCCGCUGGGAAGAUUCACGGGAUGCUGGGAAACGGCCGGAUCCGACGCUGAUGCUGGGAGAUGAUCACGGGCUAAAGCAUGGAGAUGGAGGAAUGGAUUUGAGGCUCGGAAACGGAAGAUCGUGGGGAUGCUGGAAUCCUGGAUG